GGGGCGUUAGCUCAGUUGGGAGAGUAUCUGACUGGCAGUCAGGGGGUCGUUGGUUCGAAUCCCAUACGCUCCACCA
rnacentral:tRNA from 1 species